UAACCACUCAAGCCUUUGCUUGGUCUUGGGGCUCGCGGUUCCGCGGCCCCUAAAAUCAGUGGCGGUGCCUGUCGGCUCUACGCGUAGUAAUACUCCUCGCGUCUGGGUCCGGUGGGUGACUUGCCAGCAACCCCCAACUUUUUUCA
rnacentral:misc_RNA from 1 species